CACAGGCUGAGCAGUAACUUACCCUGUGCAUAUCAGCAGGAAUUGCAAGAGGUCUGGUAUCUGAGUGCCAAACUCUUUGCUGUUCUUUUGAAAGAUGAUCUGAACAAAUGGCUAGAGAAGACUUGCAAAAAAUUAUGCAAAAAGAUUCAAGCAGCAGAGCAGUGGGAAGAGUGAAUGUCAUCAACAUCCAAAGUUUGACCCACCUGCCAGGUGACCAGUGCCACUGGAUACACACUCCA